CUGUCUAAUACCGGCUGUAAAUGCACGUUUAUUCACUUAAAUCCUGCAUAGCAACCGGACACGCCUAUCCUCGCAUGGUGGAUUUGUGAUCCAAUCCCGUUUGAAUCCCUGCGUGACGUCGUGUUUGUUGACACUUCCAUUAGCUAGCCAUUCAGGAAACGUCACUACGGCGGCGCGUGCCCGUGGCUGUCAGACUGGCGCCCCAUGUUUUCUGCCUGGAAACAUCGCCAGCUAACCGCAGCUGUGAAAACGCAAUAUUCUGGGGGCAGUAGCCGGCGUGGGAAAUGGGUUCGGAUCACAGUACCAGUUCGGCUGCUGAACAGCGACAGAGGGAUCGGGGCAACCUGUCAUCCCAAGGUGAGGCGUCUUCAUCCACAGGCGGCUCUGAUAGUGUGGCUGACCCCAAGGACCACCUGGAUCCAGAUACCGAACUGCCUCAAUGCAGAAUUGGCACCAGACGGGUAGACGACAUGAGUUUCAUGAUAUCGUGCACUAACUGGUACUAGACACACGGAGAUGUUGCACGAACCUACUGGUCAUUGAUGGCUUCAAUAAAUGUGUGCCAAAUGUUGGACUACAAAAGAUGUGAAGAUGCUGGACAAUUUGCUGAGUUGUAAUGUUCUUUAUAUAAGUUUGAUUGUGAUUGAAAGAAUAAUGCUAUAAGGCAUAAACACACAAGACAAUACAUAUUUCGCAAUUAGUUAGAUUAACUUAAAUCUGUUUAGUUCAACCGGUCUACACUUGAACGUAUUGUAAUAUAGUCUAUAUACUUACCUGCACUAAUGGUACAAUAAAAUAUAUAUAUAUGCAAAUGUA